rnacentral:misc_RNA from 1 species
UCGAGGGGGCUUGCCCCCGUCAAGAUACCACCCUUUGCCUUUGAGUACCUUCUGUUUCCUCGGCAGGCUCGCCUGCCAAUGGGGACCACAACCAAACCUUUUUGUAUCUGUAGUAAACGUUUUACAAAAUAAAAAAUCAAAACUUUCAACAACGGAUCUCUUGGUUCUGGCAUCGAUGAAGAACGCAGCGAAAUGCGAUAAGUAGUGUGAAUUGCAGAAUUCAGUGAAUCAUCGAAUCUUUGAACGCACAUUGCGCCCUUUGGUAUUCCUUAGGGCAUGCCUGUUCGAGCGUCAUCUAACCCUUCAAGCACUGCUUGGUGUUGGGCGUUUGUCCCGCCUUGGGCGCGGACUCGCCUCAAAGACAUUGGCGGCCUGUGUAUUGGCUUCGAGCGCAGCAGACUCGCGCGUCGACUCCUCUAGCACUAGGCGUCCAGCAAGCCUAUUAUCUC